rnacentral:rRNA from 1 species
CCUACGGGGGGCAGCAGUAGGGAAUCUUUCACAAUGGGCGAAAGCCUGAUGGAGCAACGCCGCGUGCAGGAUGAAGGCCCUCGGGUUGUAAACUGCCUUUAUAAGCGAGAAAUAUGAUGGUAACUUAUGAAUAAGGAUCGGCCAACUACGUGCCAGCAGCCGCGGUCAUACGUAGGAUCCGAGCAUUAUCCGGAGUGACUGGGUGUAAAGAGUUGCGUAGGUGGCAUAAUAAGUAGCUAGUGAAAUCUGGUGGCUCAACCAUUCAGACUAUUAGCUAAACUGUUAAGCUCGAGACCGUUAGGGGUAACUGGAAUGUCUAGUGUAGGAGUGAAAUCCGUAGAUAUUAGAAAGAACACCGAUAGCGUAGGCAGGUUAC